AUACGGAGGAUGCGAGCGUUAUCCGGAUUUAUUGGGUUUAAAGGGAGCGUAGGUGGGAUAUUAAGUCAGCUGUGAAAGUUUGGGGCUCAACCUUAAAAUUGCAGUUGAUACUGGUUUCCUUGAGUACGGUACAGGUGGGCGGAAUUCGUGGUGUAGCGGUGAAAUGCUUAGAUAUCACGAAGAACUCCGAUCGCGAAGGCAGCUCACCGGGCCGGAACUGACACUGAUGCUCGAAAGUGCGGGUAUCAAACAGGAUUAGAUACCCUGGUAGUCCGCACAGUAAACGAUGAAUACUCGCUGUUUGCGAUACACUAUAAGCGGCCAAGCGAAAGCGUUAAGUAUUCCACCUGGGGAGUACGCCGGCAACGGUGAAACUCAAAUGAAUUGACGGGG
rnacentral:rRNA from 1 species